rnacentral:lncRNA from 1 species
UGAAAGCCCCAUGGACUGGAACCCUCGGAGCUUGGAGCUUGGACUGGGGCCGAGAAUCCUGAGUAGUGAGGGCCGGGGGGACGGGGAGAAGAAUGAGAAGCCCAGAGAGACCUGCCCCAGACCCCGCUGGAGAGGCCGUCUCUCCCCUAUCCUCUACCACGUCUGGGGAGUCGGAGGGGAGUCCCAGCCGGGAGCCAGGGAUCGCCCCGAGAUUUCUUUCCCCCAUCCCUUGUGCCGUUCCUUCUGGUUGCUAAGCAGAUCCUUCGGGUAACUACGUGGGCAGGAAAGUUCUGUAAGACGCCGGGGACCGCUUCCCCCAAAUGUCGUGGUGAAUGUGAAAUCGCUCCACUCACCUGUCACCGCGGCUCAGCCAGCCUCCAUCACUUCACGCCAGGCCCCAUGGGAGCAGCACCUUCCUGCAGGGAGAGAAAACAGUUUCGCCUGAUCCAGAACUUUCCUGGCUGACCCGUGAAAGCAGACUGGAUGCCAUCUAAAAUGGGGAGGCGCGGACAUUUCCACAUCACGGUGACAGCGGACUUUAGGGAAAUCAAGUAUAAUAACCAUCAUUUACAUAAUGAUUCUGUGGAUCAAGGCUCCAUGAUUUCAUUCCCUUUUAACCACUGUUUCCUGAGAAAACUUUGUGGCAAGCAAAGCGAGCUUUCUGGAAGACUCUGUCUGGAGGAGGUGGAUAAAUUGUUUCUUGGCUAUCUCCCACUUCCAACCCUGAAGCAACCUCUUUGCGAUAGCCUGCAAUUUCACCCAGGGAAGGGCUGAGGAGCUGAGAGGCAGAGGUUGCCAGGAUGGCAGUCAACAACAAAAGGCAAAAAAAAAAAGAAAAGAAAGGAAAAGAAAAAAUCAGCAUAAAAUGUGUUUUAGCUAGAUUUUCGCAAAACAUCCUUUCAAUUAUUAUCAUUCUCAUUCUCACUGUUAUUAUUGUUAUAUUUGUUGGGCACUUACUACACAUCAACCACUGUUCUAAGUAGUGGGUAAAUUCCUAUUAAUCAGGUCAAGCACAGUCCCUGUCCCACAUGGGGCUCUCAGUCUAAGCAGUGGGGAGAACAGGUACGGAACCCCCAUUGUAAUGUUGGUAUUUGUUAAGCGCUUACUAUGUGCCGAGCACUGUUCUAAGCGCUGGGGUAGAUACAGGGUAAUCAGGUGGUCCCACGUGAGGCUCACAGUUAAUCCCCAUUUUACAGAGGAGGUAAAUGAGGCACAGAGAAGUUAAGUGACUUGCCCACAGUCACACAGCUGACAAGUGGCAGAGCCGGGAUUCGAACUCAUGACCUCUGACUCCCAAGCCCGUGCUCUUUCCACUGAGCCACGCUACUUCUCUAACAGAUGAAGAAGCCGAGGUCCUGAGAAGUGAAGGGACUUUCCCAAGGUCACACGGCAGGCAAGCGGCAGAGCUGGGAUUACAGUCCAGGUCCCCUGACUCCCAGCCCCAGGUUCUAGCCACCGCUCCUCAUAUUGACAUGAGACCAGGGCGUUUCAAUCACAUUACACCGUGAAAACCAAGUAUUAUCGACAACUCUUACCUCUAGCUCUGCUCACAAACCACGCAGCCAUUUCUCCAGCAUCCAUGGGACGUGUGGAUAACCGAAACCUACAGAUAAUCCAACUCCCCCUCCCUUUACCCAGUGGCUGUUUGAUCCUUCUUCCUCUACACUGUAAACUCGUUGUGGGAAGGGAAUGUGUCUCUUUAUUGUUAUAUCGUGCUCUCCCAAGCAAUUAGUGCAGUGCUUUGCACACAGUAAGCGCUCAAUAAAUACCACUGACUGAUUUUUCCAGCUAAUUCUUUUCUGUCAGAGCUGCUAGCAAGUAGUGACCCUGAAUGGAGGCUCAACUCUUCCUUUAAACCCUGUAAAUCCCUUCUCCCCACAACCUGAUAAAAGGAAUUAAGGGACAGAGAAUAUAAAGCUCAGUCAUGGGCCUGAAAGGAAAUAAAAGAAUGAAGAGAACAGCGGAGGAGAAUGAGACUUUUUUUUCUAAAACUGUGGGAUGAGGUGAAGAGAAACGGUGUUGGGGUAAAGAGGUUUGGGGAUUAUCUGUGUUGAACGAG